rnacentral:rRNA from 1 species
CAGAUUGAACGCUGGCGGCAUGCCUUACACAUGCAAGUCGAACGGCAGCGCNNNCAACCUGGCGGCGAGUGGCGAACGGGUGAGUAAUAUAUCGGAACGUACCCUGGAGUGGGGGAUAACGUAGCGAAAGUUACGCUAAUACCGCAUACGAUCUAAGGAUGAAAGUGGGGGAUCGCAAGACCUCAUGCUCCUGGAGCGGCCGAUAUCUGAUUAGCUAGUUGGUAGGGUAAAAGCCUACCAAGGCAUCGAUCAGUAGCUGGUCUGAGAGGACGACCAGCCACACUGGAACUGAGACACGGUCCAGACUCCUACGGGAGGCAGCAGUGGGGAAUUUUGGACAAUGGGCGCAAGCCUGAUCCAGCAAUGCCGCGUGAGUGAAGAAGGCCUUCGGGUUGUAAAGCUCUUUUGUCAGGGAAGAAACGGUGAAGGCUAAUAUCCUUUGCUAAUGACGGUACCUGAAGAAUAAGCACCGGCUAACUACGUGCCAGCAGCCGCGGUAAUACGUAGGGUGCAAGCGUUAAUCGGAAUUACUGGGCGUAAAGCGUGCGCAGGCGGUUUUGUAAGUUUGUCGUGAAAUCCCCGGGCUCAACCUGGGAAUGGCGAUGAAGACUGCAAGGCUAGAAUCUGGCAGAGGGGGGUAGAAUUCCACGUGUAGCAGUGAAAUGCGUAGAGAUGUGGAGGAACACCGAUGGCGAAGGCAGCCCCCUGGGUCAAGAUUGACGCUCAUGCACGAAAGCGUGGGGAGCAAACAGGAUUAGAUACCCUGGUAGUCCACGCCCUAAACGAUGUCUACUAGUUGUCGGGUUUUAAUUAACUUGGUAACGCAGCUAACGCGUGAAGUAGACCGCCUGGGGAGUACGGUCGCAAGAUUAAAACUCAAAGGAAUUGACGG